CCCCCACGGGAGAUGCAUGUCCAACCACUGCACAACGUUACCUACUUCAUGCCAGACCCUCGCCCGGGAGUCUGAGAUGCAGUUGUGAAUCGCAGGAGAUCCUUGUCGCGGAAAAUGCUGUAACCCUACUGGGUUGACAUCCUAUUCGUACUUAAAAAAAAAAAGUGUUUAUUUGAAUGAGUUGCAUGGUCCCGAAUUGCAAAAAAAAAAAAAAAAAAAAAAAAAUGAAAGGGGGUCCCGAAUUGCAAAAAAAAAAAAUAUGAAAGGGUACACAGUGAAAAGUGAGUGUCCCUUUCAUCCUGUUCUAGAGCCCCUAGCUAUUUACCUUCUCAUUAAAUAGCAGAAAACGAGUACUCCCCUCCUCCUUUCGCAACCAGGAAACACUGUCGAAGCGAAUGGAACGUGUAAAAGAGAUUGAAAGGCGACGCCAAGCGUCCUGUGUUCAUCAUGCGCUACGGACGCUGAGCAGGGCAGGGCCAACUUGAACCACAGGGUCAGGCCACCAAGACGCGAGAGGCGAGAGCCUCAAAUCCAGGCUCAAACGAAAAGAAGGCGAGGCCCACCGGCCACGCGGGGUCACACGGUUCUACCAUCGCAGUGGCUCAACGGCGGCAGUUUGUUUCCCGGGCGACGAGGGUCUGUGCCCCACAUUCAGGGGCUCAGGUUGCUUCCGUCCUGGGGAGGCGUAGCAGGUGGUUUCCCUGGCGGGGUGGAUGAUUAUGCGGGAGGGUGUUAUGGGCACGCGGAAGAAUGCCACCUAUCACUUCUGCCCACAUCCCCUGGGGCCGAUUUUAGCCACAUGGUGCUCACUGCACAGAGGCCUGGAAAUUGGAACCCAGGUGGGCUCCCCGGAGGCAGAGGAAACAGGGGGACCUCAGAACCAGCCCUCUACUUUCCGGAUCCUGCUCAAGGCCAGAUGCCGUGAGUGCAAAUAGGCGAUGAGAAGUCUGGAUGUGGUCUCUUGGGAGACCGCAGGGGGAGGGGGGCAAUACCAGUCCCCAGCUGAACGGGAGUCGGGAGCGGGACCCCUGUGCAGGAAGGGAGAUGGAGACAGGUACAGCCCGAGGAAUCUCUUCCGGCAGGAUAACUCUUAUUUCUUUGAGCCCAGAAUGCCUCAGUGAUGGACAUUUCUUGAGAGGACGCAGCUUUCUAAUGCUUGGAUUUAGAGCACGCGAGGACACAAGAGUUUCCAGAUCACCACAACCUGACCAUGCUGGCCCCCUGACUGUGGACUUCCAGCCUCCAGAACCGUGAGCUAGAAAUUUCUGCCCUUCACAAUCCCCCCAGUCUGUGACGGCGCGUUACGGCGGCCUCAACAGACAGCUUCUGAAUACUUCAGUGUGAAUUUCCCGAAAACCAGGCCAUUCUCUUCCAUAACCACGGUGCGGUGAUCAAAAUCAGGAAAUGACUCUGAAUCAUCACUAUUAUCUCAUCUACAGAUCUUACUCAAAUUUCACCAAUUGCCUGCUAAUGUCCUUUGUAGCACAACCAAGGAAAAUUGGCUGCCUUUUUAACUGCAAAUAAUAAAUACGGAUUUCCGUUUCUUGUUUCA
ensembl:lncRNA